rnacentral:rRNA from 1 species
UACAGAGGGGGCAAGCGUUGUUCGGAAUUACUGGGCGUAAAGGGCGCGUAGGUGGCCUUCUAAGUCGAACGUGAAAUCCCUGGGCUCAACCCAGGAACUGCGUCCGAGACUGGGAGGCUUGAAUCCGGGAGAGGGAUGCGGAAUUCCAGGUGUAGCGGUGAAAUGCGUAGAUAUCUGGAGGAACACCGGUGGCGAAGGCGGCAUCCUGGACCGGGAUUGACACUGAGGCGCGAAAGCCAGGGAGCAAACGGG